UGCUGGACUGGAGCUUCUUGUCACUUCAACCGGAAAAGGUCUACUUAGAAAACUCCAAAACUUUCUAGUGAGCGUCUCCUAUGUCUAAGUAAGAAGGAGUAUACCUCGCUUUCUUUUUCUGGAUGUUUUUCAACCCACAUUCUUGGGAGAUAGGCAGCAGACAAACCGAUGUGGAGGGAAAAUCCACUGCUGUCUAAGGAGCUGCCUUCCAUGGUGCUAAUGACAGCUUUGCAGUCUGUGCGCUGCGAAACAAAACACCAUGACAACAAGGCAUAAAUUCCUCCACAACCCUCCACCACUCCCCCUCCACUGCCGCCAAAAUGCUUCUUCAAAUCUUAUGCGUACAAACCUGAAGGUUUUCAUUCAAAGCCUUGU